CCCGCUGAACUUAAGCAUAUCAAUAAGCGGAGGAAAAGAAACUAGCAAGGAUUCCCCUAGUAACUGCGAGUGAAGCGGGAAAAGCUCAAAUUUAAAAUCUGGUGGUCUUUGGCCAUCCGAGUUGUAAUUUAGAGAAGCGUCUUCCGCGCUGGACCAUGCAUAAGUCUCCUGGAAUGGAGCGUCAUAGAGGGUGAGAAUCCCGUCUUUGGCAUGGACCCCCAGGGCUUCUGUGAUGCGCUCUCAAAGAGUCGAGUUGGUUGGGAAUGCAGCUCAAAAUGGGUGGUGAACUCCAUCUAAAGCUAAAUAUUGGCGAGAGACCGAUAGCGAACAAGUACCGUGAGGGAAAGAUGAAAAGCACUUUGGAAAGAGAGUGAAACAGUACGUGAAAUUGUUGAAAGGGAAACGCUUGAAGUCAGUCGCGUCGUCCGAGAAUCAUCCUCGUCUUGGCUUGGUGUACUUCUCGGCUGACGGGUCAGCAUCAAUUUCGAUCCUUGGAUAAUGGCAAGGGAAAGGUAGCACCUUCACAGGUGUGUUAUAGUCCUCUGUCGGAUGCAAGGGUUGUGAUUGAGGAACUCAGCACGCACCUCAUCGGUGUCGGGGCCUUUUGGCCUACGUUACGUGCUUAGGAUGCUGGCAUAAUGGCUUUAAACGACCCGUCUUGAAACACGG
rnacentral:rRNA from 1 species